CGCUGAUAGGCUACGGAGGCCAUCGCCCCGCCCCAUCUCUGAUAGGGUAACGUGGAAGCACGAGAGGAGGCUGCGUCCGCCGGUUGCGGAGCUGUCAGAGCGCUCCGACCGGCCGCUGGGGGAAGGCGGCGGGAGUCUGACUGGCAGCCGCUGAGUCCGCAUGCGCAGGGGCGAAAGGCUUUUGGAUCGGGCCGGCGUGCUGCGUUAGCGAGGAGGAGGAGGAUGUCAGCCAGGCCAGGCGACGUUCUUCCGUGGUGCUGUUUGGAGAGGAAUGUGAAGCCCCCCCCCCCGGCUUCGAGAUAAGAAGGCAAAACCUCCCAAGAAGGGAGCUUUAAAGCUCCUAGAAUGGGCUGUUUACCACGAUGAGUCAGAGUCCACUCCCUGCCCCUGAGCAUCUCCGGACAAAUAACAGACUGAACUGGAGAAGAAAAAAAAAGCUCCAGAGAAACGGUCAGGAGUAGCUGGAUGAGCUGAUGGAGGCCAAAGCAUUCCAGGGAAAACCAGAAAGAAGUGCACAUUACUGACCUAAGCCACCUAUUGAGGAUGGCUUGGAAGUUUGGGGACCUUCCCCCACACCCCGACUGUCCAGUGGGCCAGCGUGUCCAGAAAGAGAGCAGAAUCCUGGAGGGGUCUGUGAAGAAGAAACCAGGGAGCUGCAGCAGCUGAGACAGCAAGGGGCUCUUGAGAGUGCGGCCAAGGUCAGCUCUAAGGGAAAAAACACCUGUUAAACGGGAUCUUGCAUCUUCUGCUCAUCAGAGGAGACUCAACGGAAGAGAUAAGAUCUUGAACAAGAUAAAGUCCAAGUUACUUAAUUUGGCAUUUUGUUUGUUCGCAGUCAUUUACUCUGACGUCUCCAACACGCACGCUAUACCCAGUGGUGUUUUACUUGAGCUAAUGAAAAGAAAAUAGGAUUCUACCAAGUCUCCCAUCUACCUACUCCAGGACUUCUGUGAGGAUCAAAUGAGAUGAGGCAUGGGGAAACACUUCACAGACAUUUGGUUACAGUGUAAAAUGUUUCCACCUGGCUAUAAAGCAAGUUGUGUUCCUGGGCUGAAGAAACAACAAGGAGACUAGUCCCUAGGGAGAGGAAGCCGGGUGUUGCUAUGUGACGUCAUUACCCAGACGGACACUUAGCAUAUUAGCUCUCUCUCUAUAUAUAUAUACUAGGGGCCUGAUGCACAAAAUUCAUGCAGGAGUAGGCCUUCCUUCCCCCGGCUGCCAGCACCGGCUUCCCUCUGGCACCUGGGACCCGGGCUUCCCUCCAGCACCCGGGGCCCGGCUUCCCUCCGGCCACUGACAGGCACCCGGGACCCGGGCUUCCCUCGCAGCCUGGCUUUGUCUGGAAGGAUGGAAGGACAUCUGGUCUAAGUAGCAUAUUGCACUUUUAUUAUUAUAGACUACAGGCCCUGUGCACAAAAUUCGUGCAUGGGUAUGGUCCCUAGGCCUGGCCAGCAAUCAGGCCCAAUUGGGGCCUUCCGGCUACCAGCCGGGGCCUUCCUUCAUUCCACACCACCCCCUGGUGGUCAGCACACAUCAUAGCAAGCAAUCGAACUUCCGGGGACACUUUGCAUAUUAGCCUUUUAUAUAUAUAGAUAGAUGUGAAGUGCAUAGGAUUCAGAUCCAAGAAAUGUAACCUCAAACCAUGGCUAUUAUCUAACUUAGCUUCAUCUGUAAAGUGGGUAUGAUCCUGAUUACUUCAAAGAUUUGUUUUGAGCCCAGUUGGCAUGGCUCAGUUGUUGAGCACUGAUCAAUGAACCAGGAGGUCACCAUUCGAUUUCCAGCCAGGGCACAUGCAUGUGUUGUGGGCUCCACCCCUAGUAGGGGUUGUGCAAGAGGCAGCUGAUCAAUGAUUCUGUCUCAUCAUUGAUAUUUCUAUCUCUCUCUUCCUCUUCCCUCCUCUCUGAAAUCAAUAAAAAUAUUUUUUUUAAAAAAA